CACACUUAAACGUUGGGCUGAAUAAAACUGUGUAAUAAAUUAGAUUUCUUAGAUUGUGUGACUCUUCACUGGUAAUGUUGACAUAAGGUAAGUCACAGUUAGGUGUUAUUUGAUUGAUUUGGAACAUACAUAAAUACACACUGGAAUAGGUGAAAGUACAAAUGACACAACACAACACAACACUUUGAAUAUUAAAUAUAGAAUUAUUUUAUUUCCAAUGUAAAAACGAUUUUAAAAGAUUUCAAUCUUAUUAAUAUAUUUAAUUAUUAUUCAUAUCCAAAACAACAACCUAACUUAACGGUGACAUCAUAGUAAUUCAAUAAAAGUUCAAUUACCAGGAGUUAUGUUGCGCACAUUUAAAUAUUUUCAAAAGUCUUAAUUCGGGUUCGUUGACACUACACAGUUUUUAAUUAAUGUUUUUAGGGAACUUAAAUCAAUUUUUACCUCGGCUAGAUAGGUUCAAAUAGUUCAUCGGCAGAGCUCAGAGCCUCUCAUCUGUAGGACCACUGAGUCUGUUAGUUAAUGUGUAAAUUCGUAAAAUUUAUGUCCAAUUAUUAUUUAAAUCAGCUAUAAAGUCAAUUUAAUUCAUGGAAUCAAUGUUUAUAAUAAGUUUCGGCGACGAUGUGACGUAAAAACGGGAGUUUCGUGAUUCGUGCAUAAGAUUAGGGCACAAAAAAUCUGGGCACUUUUGUUACUCACGUUAAUCACUCCUAUAAUAUUUAUCUUUUUAGAUAAAUCCUAUUUAAAUGUUCUGAACUCCCUAAUGGUUCAUAAUUAUCAUCCACUAUCCGGGAUGCCUGAUGCUAGAUAGCUAAUUUUCAGGAUUUAAAAUCGCCGACGUCACGAAGUUGCCGCUCAUUCAGCUGGCCAUUGUAGAACUCUCUUUCUUACUAGUUUCCUCAAAAUAACCAGUAAGACUCACUUUUAAAUGGUGGCCCGUGAUUGGCCAAAAGGACCGUUUCAGUCACCUAAUUUCUUACCGAAAACGUAAACUCCGAACGCAACAAUUGCGCGGAUAACAAAAUUUCACUUAAAAUUUAAAUACAUAAAUAUUGAAAUUAUAAUUUACAUUAUAAAUUUACGGCGUUAAUUUUACCGUUUACAGUUUUCAAGUCCAUUAGUCCUUAGAGGGGUAUCAACAAUACCUCGUUCAAAUAGUCCGGUAAAAAUCCAAAGAAUCACUUUUCCAUAGACAUACAUAACCAAAUAUUGCCGUUUCUGAAAAUAAAUAAUAUUAUACAUAGAGCAAACAAAAAUAAAAUAAAUCGUAAAUAAUAAUAAAUAAUUAAACUGUCAAAACAAACAUGUUGCAGUACAGAUUUUGCCGCCCUUGUCAAUUACAUUGAACAGUGCUCUUUGACCUGUUCAAAACGGUGCAAUGUGAUUGGCACUUCCCUUUCUCCGUCGCACAAUACACAACACUCUUCGUUGCCUAGCAACGCGCGCACCAAACGACAAACAAAAAAAAACAACUUGAGAGAGACUACCUCUCCUCCUCGAUUCGUUUUUUACCGUUGCGCGCCUGAAAAUCGCGCCUUUUUAAACACUUUUUGUCGGGUCGUCGCUGCUAACAGACCUGCGCGAAGAAGUUCACGGAUUUUGCAGUGCAAAAUCUUCGAAGGCUGGAACUGCUGCUGCUCUCCGACUGAUUCUGCCUUGAGCCGCUCCUGUUGAGAAGGACUCGGGAGGACUUACUUACUGUCACGUCACGGCAGUGGGUCAACGUCCACCUGCGGUGAUGACUGCAUCCUGGCUGCGACUCCUCCUUCCUGCAGCGGACAGCGGCGUCGAGACGGCGCCUGUCCUCAAAACGACCAACAAACCUGGCCUGGUUCACCACGCGUCGACGGGGUCUGGCGUGGGGCGAUGAUGCUGUACCAGACAGCACGGCAUUUGGCACUGCAGCUGACGUCAUCAACUGCUGAUGUGGCAGCAUCCAGCCGCCCUGCCUCACGACUACGCGCGAGACGGCGUCGUGGCGUCUGCGGUGCUGAUUGCGUGGGGCGAGGUCACCACUUCCCACAAGGAAGCACUCGUCUAUUCCCAUCACUGUUAGGUACACAAUCGUUGCGAACCGCACUAUGUCUAGCUCACUCUGGUGUAACCUUCGCACCUGACUUAAGUAUAGGUGUCCGGGUCUUAACCGAAUAACUUAAUCACUAUGUGCGUACUUGUACUCUUGCAAAUACAAGUGUCUGCAGGCAAUACAACUUGUGUACUUGUCGCGGAACACUAUGACGUCACCGUUAAAACAAAAAUAUCUUAAAUUAACCUUAAAAUUCCUAGCUUAACAUAUAACAUUCUCAUUAUUAACAUCAUUGUUAGAAAAAAAAAUAAAUAAA